UUUUACUCAUUGGGGAGCUCAAGAGGCUGAGAGGACUUUCAAGUCGACCCAUUGAACCUGAUCCGGGUAAUGCCGGCGGAGGAAUAGCAACAUGAGUGAUG
rnacentral:ncRNA from 2 species